AUUGAACGCUGGCGGCAGGCUUAACACAUGCAAGUCGAGCGGAGAUGAGGUGCUUGCACCUUAUCUUAGCGGCGGACGGGUGAGUAAUGCUUAGGAAUCUGCCUAUUAGUGGGGGACAACAUUCCGAAAGGAAUGCUAAUACCGCAUACGUCCUACGGGAGAAAGCAGGGGAUCUUCGGACCUUGCGCUAAUAGAUGAGACUAAGUCGGAUUAGCUAGUUGGUGGGGUAAAGGCCUACCAAGGCGACGAUCUGUAGCGGGUCUGAGAGGAUGAUCCGCCACACUGGGACUGAGACACGGCCCAGACUCCUACGGGAGGCAGCAGUGGGGAAUAUUGGACAAUGGGCGAAAGCCUGAUCCAGCCAUGCCGCGUGAGUGAUGAAGGCCUUAGGGUUGUAAAGCACUUCAAGCGAGGAGGAGGCUACUGAGACUAAUACUCUUGGAUAGUGGACGUUACUCGCAGAAUAAGCACCGGCUAACUCUGUGCCAGCCGCCGCAGUAAAAC
rnacentral:rRNA from 1 species